UUUGGUGUUGUGUUUGGACCCGCUGCGGGACAGACCAGCCCUGCGCCGCACAUGAGGGAGCUCCUCUCCGGUUUCCAGAGCAUAUUCAUGAGGAGCUUCACCUGUCAACUCCUGACAAAAGUAGUGAAAAACAAACAUGAACAUUAGUAGAAUGGAUCGCAGCAUGCAGGAAGUGGCUUGUAAAGCGGGAAGCGAGUGCGGGAAACAGAAAUGGGAGGCUCAGACUGACCUAUAACAACAAUGCCGGCAGAAACCCUCAUGCACAAAAACACCCUCUCAGGGCCAGAGUCAUUUCCUAAAGAUCAGCUGUAAACGGAGGCACAGACAAUGAAGUGAAAGGUCAAAAAACUCAUAUACUGUAACUCACACGCUUUCCUGUCUGCAACCUAAAUAAGCGUUUCGGUCUCAAUGGCCAGUGGUGAUCUGUUCUUCUCAUUGCAUCAGAAAGUAGUUAUUAUCUCAGCUGCAUGAGAUGGGCGGCUCUCUGGACGGCCCUAUGAUUGAGAAGCCGUGAAUGAUGGGUGUCUCUGAAAAAUUCAGAAGGUUAUAAUUAUAAAGAAAGAUCAAUAGUCCCAUAUGCGAACUAACUUGGAGAAAAGAGCAGCAGAUGAGUGAAAUGCACGUCCAAAUUAAAGAAAGCAACAGAACAAUGUGGCUAUUGUUUGUUGUCUUGACCUAAUCGUGCCCAUCACACACACUCAAGGGUCAGAGGAGGACAAAUAAAAGUAAGCGGGCUUAUAACGUAACACAAAUAUGUGCAUAUAGCUAGAGCAAACAUGGUGUCUAUGCCUGUCUUGGUUUGCCUAGUGUUGGGUUUCAGCUAAUGGAGUCACGCUGUUGUCAGUUUGAGCUUGAUAAGAUCCCUGAUCUUGAACUGAUGCAUUUCCCAAUUUCUAAGCAUUUAUUGUAGUGUUUACCUUAAUCUUCAAAUGUUUUGAUUAAACCCUUUCGCACUAUUUAUCC